rnacentral:lncRNA from 1 species
GCUGGGAUUACAGGCAUGAACCACCAUAACCAGACAGGUAUUUGCUGCUCAGAAUUGGCAAAUAGAGGAAUAAACUCUGUUACCAAAUUCCUUAAUUUCAGGAGAACCCAUGAAAGGAGUAUCAUCCAAUCAGGUCAACUCUCUUUGGUUUCCUAAUGUCUAAACAUUUCACAAUUUAUGGAAUUAUGAAAGGAUCCAGCUCCCCAGAGGAUGUGAGCACAUCUGAACACAAUUAUGCACUGCAGCCAGACAACUGUUAGCUUUCUGGGGCAAAAGACACAGAGAAAGACCAGGAUAAUCCUUGUGCGUGCAGCUCAGAUUUGGCCCCUGUCGCCACACGCUGCCAAGCCUGUCACAUUCUGGCAAUAAGGAGCAAUGCUUGGAUGGGGACCAGGACCAUGCUGACAUCUGACCACCUCUGCAGUCUGGGCGAAUUCCAAGAAAUCCCUCAGAAGAAAGUGCCAUGCAGAAAUAUCCUGGCGGGGGAACUGCCCACACAGCUGUGCCAGUUAUUCACCCUCGCCAGAUUCUUCAUGCUCUUUCCCACUUCAAGGCCCUUGCAUUAGCUGUUCUCCCUGACCAUGCACUUGACUCUCAAGAACAUUUAGGUAAGUCAUGUCCUUACCUAAGCUUAGGGGCUUAAGCGAGGGACUUGGUGUCCUGGAAGUACUCCCUAGCUCGCCACUCUAUGUAGCACCCAGUCCAGAUCUUCAGCCUCCAUCCAUCCUUUGAGAAUGUUUUAUCCUCUGAUCCCUUGAGAUAUGGGCCCUUUCUGUGACCCACCAGCCUGUGCCAGAGCCCAGGGCCUUAAUUCUGGAGGAGACAUGAUGCUACCCUGGGAACAGGUCCUUCCGGGACACGAGGCAGCUGGAGAGCUCUGGGUGUGACAGAGGAAUACGGAAACAGGGAGAAGAAACAAAGAAACAGAGAAAUGAGGAAACGAGGAAGGAAAAGGGUGGCUCCUGGAGACAAAUGUUUCCUUCUCCACACUUCUGCUGAUGCUGAGGUGGCCUUUAAAGUGCCAGCAAGGAGGAGCCGGGAGGGGUUUGCACAUGUGUUGCUGGGCAUGGAUGGGGUGGUGUGUGUGCCAGGAUGGGAGCCUUCCUGGGCAGUCACUACUGGGUGGGGCGCUCCAGUCAAGACAUCAAGACAGACAGCUAAGGCUUUCUCCCAAACCAAAAGACUUGCAAACUUCCCUACAAGUUCUGAGUUUUCUUCUGAAGCUAACUUCUUGGAACUCAAUGGCAUGAAACCGUCAUGCAGUUAAAGCAUUUAAGGGCUGUAUAUGCCCUGGGGGCUGUCAAUGUCAUAGACACUGUCAUUUCUCUCUCCCUGCACAAAAAUAACUAAAAUGAUGAAUCCGG